rnacentral:rRNA from 1 species
UACGGGGGGGGCAAGCGUUGUCCGGAAUUAUUGGGCGUAAAGAGCUCGUAGGCGGUGUGUCGCGUCGGCCGUGAAAACCUGCAGCUUAACUGUGGGCGUGCGGUCGAUACGGGCAUCACUGGAGUUCGGCAGGGGAGACUGGAAUUCCUGGUGUAGCGGUGAAAUGCGUAGAUAUCUGGAGGAACACCGGUGGCGAAGGCGGCAUCCUGGACCAACACUGACACUGAGGAGCGAAAGCCAGGGGAGCAAACGGG